AGAAUCCUGCUUUGCAAAGGUCUAACCAAUCAGCAAAUAGCGAGUCUUGCGUAGCAGUCGGUAACGGCUGGUGCGAAGCGUAGACAGCGAGUUAGCAGGGAUGAAAUGCUAUUGAGCCUCGAAAAGUUAUGUAUCCGCAUGGUCGACGGAUUUGCUGACUCGGAAGACAAUAUCGAGUAUCACGAUAUGGUGAGCGAUGCUCGGCGCGGCGGGGUCAUAGGGCC
rnacentral:ncRNA from 1 species